rnacentral:rRNA from 1 species
UACGUAGGGGGCAAGCGUUGUCCGGAUUUAUUGGGCGUAAAGAGCGUGUAGGCGACCAGGCAGGUCCGCUGUGAAAACUCGAGGCUCAACCUCGAGAGGUCGGUGGAAACCGUCUGGCUAGAGUCCGGAAGAGGAGAGUGGAAUUCCCGGUGUAGCGGUGAAAUGCGCAGAUAUCGGGAAGAACACCCGUGGCGAAGGCGGCUCUCUGGGACGGUACUGACGCUGAGACGCGAAAGCGUGGGGAGCGAACAGG